rnacentral:rRNA from 1 species
CCCUUAGACGUUCUGGGCCGCACGCGCGCUACACUGACCAGUGCAACAAGCAUCCGUCCUUGGCCGACAGGCCCGGGCAAUCUUUGAACGCUGGUCGUGAUGGGGCUAGACUUUUGCAAUUUUUGGUCUUCAACGAGGAAUUCCUAGUAAACGCAAGUCAUCAACUUGCAUUGAUUACGUCCCUGCCCUUUGUACACACCGCCCGUCGCACCUACCGAUUGAAUGGUCCGGUGAAGCCUCCGGAUUGGCGCGCACCUCGGUGCCGCCGAGAAGUUGGCUAAACCUUACCAUUUAGAGGAAGGUGAAGUCGUAACA